rnacentral:rRNA from 1 species
UACGUAGGGGGCUAGCGUUGUCCGGAUUUAUUGGGUGUAAAGGGCAGGUAGGCGGCCUAGCAAGUCGGGCGUGAAAUCCCGGAGCUCAACUCCGGAACGUCGUCCGAGACUGCGAGGCUCGAGAGUGGUAGGGGAGAGCGGAAUUCCCGGUGUAAGGGUGAAAUCUGUAGAGAUCGGGAGGAACACCAGUGGCGAAGGCGGCUCUCUGGACCAUUUCUGACGCUCAGACGCGAAAGCAUGGGGAGCAAACAGG